UUCCGUAGCUCAGCAGGUUGGGGGUUGUGUCUGUUAACCACAAGGUCGCAGGUUCGACUCCUGCAGGAA
rnacentral:tRNA from 1 species